UACGUAGGGGGCAAGCGUUGUCCGGAAUCAUUGGGCGUAAAGCGCGUGUAGGCGGUUCGGUAAGUCUGCUGUGAAAGUCCAGGGCUCAACCUCGAGACGUCGGUUGAAACCGUACGGCUAGAGUCCGGAAGAGGAGAGUGGAAUUCCCGGUGUAGCGGUGAAAUGCGCAGAUAUCGGGAAGAACACCCGUGGCGAAGGCGGCUCUCUGGGACGGUACUGGACGCUGAGACGCGAAAGCGUGGGGAGCGAACAGG
rnacentral:rRNA from 1 species